rnacentral:rRNA from 1 species
GAUGAACGCUGGCGGCGUGCCUAAUACAUGCAAGUCGAGCGAACAGACGAGGAGCUUGCUCCUCUGACGUUAGCGGCGGACGGGUGAGUAACACGUGGAUAACCUACCUAUAAGACUGGGAUAACUUCGGGAAACCGGAGCUAAUACCGGAUAACAUGUUGAACCGCAUGGUUCAACAGUGAAAGACGGUCUUGCUGUCACUUAUAGAUGGAUCCGCGCCGCAUUAGCUAGUUGGUAAGGUAACGGCUUACCAAGGCAACGAUGCGUAGCCGACCUGAGAGGGUGAUCGGCCACACGGGAACGGAGACACGGUCCAGACUCCUACGGGAGGCAGCAGUGGGGAAUCUUCCGCAAUGGGCGAAAGCCUGACGGAGCAACGCCGCGUGAGUGAAGAAGGUCUUCGGAUCGUAAAACUCUGUUAUUAGGGAAGAACAAAUGUGUAAGUAACUAUGCACGUCUUGACGGUACCUAAUCAGAAAGCCACGGCUAACUACGUG